CAUAGAAACAACACCAGAAAUCCAGAGUUCGUGAAAUAUUGCCUUGUGCAGCUUGAGAAGUAUGAAGACUCAGAACUGAUUUUCAACCCAGAAUGUGACUUCUUUGUUGCCACCAUUGAUUCUUACCCAGAAGAUUUCUGAUAGGAUGAGAGUUAUUCAUGGCUUUUGAAACACCUUUGCUUUUCUGACUCACAUUACUUAUAAUUGUUGGACAACAUAAUAUGGACCAGAUGGCUUCAUUAUUCUGCAUUUCACAUUUUGAAUUUUAAAUGUCAUGUUGGACCACUUGUCAGUGGCCAGCUGUGUCCUGGAGGAGGAGAUGAGGCCAGACCGUAGAUCAAACAUCCUGGGUCAGAUACCAUGGACAGCCUUCAGAUUCAGACUGGAACUACACAUUAGCUUUCUUGGGUCUCCAGCCUGCCAACUCAUCCUGCAAAUCUUGGGACUUCUCAUCCCCAUAAUCAUGUGAGCCAAUUCCGUAUAAUAAAUCUCUCUCUGUGUCUCUGUCACACACACACGCACAGACACACACACCCUAUUGAUUCUGUUUCUCUGGAUAACGCUGACUAACACAAAGGGCAAGGCAACGAAUGCUGUCGCCUUUCUUAGAGGGACACAUAGACGGUCCUGGCCAAUAGACAGGGAAGGAGCUGAAGGAAUAAAUACUUAAAUCUCACCCUUCUCUCUGGUGCUUCCAAUUGGUUGAACUCACCAGGAAGUUCUAGAGCAAUGGAGCCAGUGGAGGCAGUCUUUAAAGAGUCUGGGAUACAGAGCAGGAUGGAGAAGGAUGAAAAGUGGGUCUAGAGGGGCUAAUGGAGGCUUUCCAGAUAAUGUAUCUAAAACAACCAUUGUUACCACUUUCAUAUAUAACCUCCCAGAGAUAUGCUAUGCAUACAAAAGCAUAUAUGGUGAUCUUGGUAAUUUCCAGGAUAUUUCAAACUCUUCCAAAAAUAUCACUUUGAUGGCUGCAUAAUAUUAAAAAUCCUUUUACUAUGAAAUAGUCUUACAUAGAUGUUACAUUUAUAUAAUAUAAAAAUAGUAAUGAAUGAAAGUCCUAUGUAUCCCUUCAUCCUGCUUAAGAACUAGAACACUGCCAAAACUUCAGGACCACUGUGGG